CGGAGGUUUUUCAGUAGGAUGGGUUUUGGACUUGUAUAGGAAAGCUGUGGGGAAAAGUGGUUGAACUGUGUCAUUUUGUUUUUUUAGAGGUUAAACACAAGUUAGCUGUGUUUUUUUUGGUUGGUUGGUUGGAUGGCUGUUUUUUUGGUAAUAACUGUGAAUGUAAAUUGUCACGAGAUACUCUGGACAGUUGUUCUACUUAUCUGUCUUUCCAAAUGUGUGUGGGCACUGCACUUGAUACAGGAGAUAAUUGUAGGAGAUACUUGAUGCAAAACUCCCCUUUACGUUACAUUUUCUAUGGGAUAAAAGAGGAGUGUUAUAACAGCCAAGGGUGGGCAGGAAAGAGUAAGGAGAAAUGUGAGAGUAAGAGUUUUGAGACCGUGACUGUGUCCCGUGGCCCCCAGCACAAGAGAGACUUGGAUGUACUGGAAAGAGUGUUAUGGAGGGCCACCAAGAUGAUGAAGGGCCUGGAGCACCUCUCCUGUGAGGAGAGGCUGAGAGAGCUGGGGCUGUUCAGCCUGGAGAAGAGGAGGCUCAGGGGGAAGUUAGCAGUUGUAGAUCUUAAAUAAACGCCAACAAAAUGGCUGGCAAAAUCUAACCUAGAUUCUUUUGAUUGAAAUAACAUUUAAGAGUGAUCUGAGAUAACUGAUUUCUUCUUUUUCUUUUUUCCUUCAAAUUUCAAACUUCAAAUUUCAAUCUGAUUUUUCAAUUAUUUUUUAAUAGUUUUAGCAGAAUUUUUUAAAAUCUGGGGGAAAGAAACCUCUCUUCUGCAUAGUCCCCCUCUUCCUGAUGCAGGCUUUGAGUCAAUACGAGUUCAUCAAAAGGCACUCAGUUUUUCCAAGGACUUGUAAAAUUAAACAUGAUAAAGCUGUGAAAGUAAUCAGUAUGUGUAAUGUAUUUUGAGGACUUUAUUUAUUUAUUUAUUUAUUUAUUUUUUCCAGUGACUGGCAUGAAACAUUUUUUCAUAUAUUCAAAUUCAUACCUAGAAAUGCACUUUCCACAGUUAAAAGUGUCACAAGAACUUCAUUUUUAUCUGUUAAAAAUAAUUAUGGGAUUUGACUUUUUCUAUGCUUUUAUUUCUACAGGAGUAUAAAUGGUGAUUUCUUUUAUUACUCUUUGCUAUUCAGAUAUGUCAAGGAAUUUCAAAGAAAAACAAAACUUUGCCACUGAAAACAAAAUUCCUGCACUACCAGAGCUGGAGGAGGCAGCAGCAGGAACAGAAGAACCAACAUCUCUCCAGGUGGAGGGAUGGAGGAACACAUGCUCCCAUGUGCUUGUGGAUGUGGAAGUGUGACGGGAGAUCUGCAUCAGACCAGGAUAAGGUUUAUGGCAUCUGAAUCCCUCCUCAGUCCUGACACCUAACAUUUGCUGUUGGAUGUCCCUUUGUUCCUGCAUAAACCCAACAUGCUUUAACCUAAUGCAAUAAACCUUGUUAAACUUAUAAAAUGUGAUUAGCAAAGAACAAAGAAUUCCUCCUACUUUC